rnacentral:lncRNA from 1 species
AAGUCUUAGGCUCCACCGUGCGAGGCAACCAGAAGGGUCCUUCAAGUUAGCUAGCCAACACAAGGCGUGAUGGUCGCUCACAACUUUGAAGGGCCUGCCGUAGAGGUAGGGGCGAAACUUUGAUGUAGCCCACAUGAUGGCCAGGCACUGCUUUUCUGUUGUGUAACAGUUGAUUUCUGCCUUUGAUAGCGACAGGCUAGCAUAACUGAUGACCCUUUCCAAUCCGUCGGUCUUCUGCAC